rnacentral:rRNA from 1 species
AUGGGGAUCUUCGAGCCGUUCCGCGCGAUCGGGUACAUCACCACGGGCGGCGUGCCCUUCUCCCUGCAGCGCCUCGGCACCGAGACCUUCGUCACCGUCAGCGUCGGCAAGGCCUUCCACGUCUACAACUGUGCCAAGCUCACUUUGGUCCUUGCCGGACCUCAACUGCCCAAGAAGAUCCGCGCUCUCGCGUCCUUCAAGGAAUACACCUUUGCUGCAUAUGGAAGCGAUAUCGCGGUUUUCAAACGGACCGAUCUGGUGGUUACCUUUACUAAACAUGAAGAAAAGGUCAACAUGUUGUACCUGUUUGGAGAGUAUAUUCUCAGUGCAGAUAUUAAAGGUGAUAUAUUUAUCUGGGCCUUCAGAGGGGCAAAACCAAGCAAUGAGCCUGUUGGAAACAUAUCACUGGGAGACAAGUUUACUCCAACCUGCAUUAUGCAUCCGGAUACUUACCUAAAUAAGGUCAUUAUUGGUAGUGAAGAAGGACCCUUGCAGCUGUGGAAUAUCAGCACAAAGAAAAAAGUAUAUGCUUUUAAGGGUUGGGAUUCAUCAGUACGUUGUUGUGUUUCUUCACCUGCUCUGGAUAUGGUUGCAGUCGGUUGCUCCGAUGGAUCGAUUCAUGUUCACAAUAUACGAUAUGAUGAAGAGUUGAUGUCUUUCAACCAUGAAAUUCGGGGUGCUGUAACUGCCCUGUCAUUUCGAACAGAUGGUCAACCCCUUCUAGCAUCUGGAGGUUCCUCGGGUGUUAUUAGCAUUUGGAAUCUUGAGAAGAGAAGGCUGCACUCUGUGAUUAGGGAGGCCCAUGAUGGUUCUAUUGUAUCACUUCAUUUUUUUGCCAAUGAACCUAUUUUGAUGAGCUCAGCAGCUGAUAAUUCAAUAAAAAUGUGGAUAUUUGAUAAUAAUGAAGGAGAUGCUCGUCUGUUACGAUUUCGAAGUGGGCAUAGCGCUCCACCUCGGUGCAUAAGAUUCUAUGGCAAUGGAAAAUCCAUCUUAUCCGCUGGUCAAGACCGUGCCUUCCGUCUUUUCUCAGUUGUUCAGGAUCAACAAAGCAGAGAGCUUUCUCAGCGGCAUGUGGCAAAAAGAGCAAAAAAACUUAGAGUAAAGGAGGAAGAGAUAAAGCUAAAACCAGUUAUUGCAUUUGAUUGUGCUGAGAUACGUGCACGUGAUUGGUGUAAUGUUGUUACAUGCCACAUGGAUACUUCAAAGGCAUAUGUAUGGCGUCUUCAGAACUUUGUUAUAGGCGAACAUAUUCUUACACCAUCGUCAGAGACUGAGUCACCGAUUAAGGCUUGUACUAUAAGUGCAUGUGGUAAUUUUACUAUCUUGGGCACUGAAGGUGGUUGGAUCGAAAAAUUUAACCUUCAAUCUGGGAUUAGUCGUGGUAGUUACAUUGAUGGCUCGCUGUCAUUGCAAUGUGCACAUGAAGGUGAAGUUGUUGGAUUAGCCUGUGAUGCAACAAAUGGAUCUCUGAUUAGUGCUGGAUACCGUGGGGAUAUUAAGGUCUGGGAUUUUAAAAGUUGCAAGCUAAAAUCCAAAUUCAAUGUUGGUAAAUCUGUAACUAAGAUUGCAUAUCACCGGGCAAAUGGUCUUCUUGCUACUGUAGCAGAUGAUAUGGUGCUUGUAUUGUUUGAUACAGUAUCGAUGAAAAUGGUCCGUAGAUUUGAAGGACAUACAGAUCGUAUCACUGAUCUGUGUUUCAGUGAGGAUGGGAAAUGGCUCAUUUCGUCUAGUAUGGAUGGGACGCUCAGAAUAUGGGAUAUCAGUUUAGCAAGACAGAUAGAUGCAAUGCGCGUUGAUGUAUCUAUAACAUCCGUCUCUAUGUCUCCUAAUAUGGAUGUGCUGGCAACCACCCAUGUUGAUCAAAAUGGCGUGUAUCUUUGGGUUAAUCAAGCUUUGUUCUCACCUUCGACAAAUGUUGAUAGCUAUGCAAGUGGUAAACAUGUCCGGAACGUGCUUUUGCCAACUGUUUCAUCAGCCGAAAGAUCUGAGGAGGAAGAACCCAUUAAAAAAUCACAAGAUUCAAAUCAAUCUAAUAUUAAACCUUUUGUCAUAAUGGAUCAUCAAAUACCAAAUAUGAUCACACUCUCAUUACUCCCAAGGAGUCAAUGGCAAAGCUUGACAAAUCUUGACAUUAUAAAGGUUCGAAACAAACCGAUCGAGCCACCUAAGAAACCUGAGCAGGCGCCAUUUUUCUUGCCCUCAGUUCCAUCCCUUUCUGGGGAGAUAUUGUUUGAGCCUCCUUCCAGUAAAGAAACAGACGGCAGCACUACUGAGGACAUAGGUCAUAAAAAGAUGGCUGAUCUCUCCUCCCACUUCAGUCGGCUGUUACAAUCCUGUGGAGAACUUGAGAGCUAUUCAGCGUUCACCGAAUACCUAAAAGGCCUAUCUCCGUCAUCUUUAGAUAUGGAACUACGGAUGCUACAGAUAAUAGAUGACGACGAGGUGGAAGAGUCUGAGGAACCAAGACCCGAGCUCCAGUCCAUCUCAUUGCUGCUGGACUACUUCAUUCAUGAGCUUUCCUGCAGGAACAACUUCGAGUUUGUUCAAGCUGUUCUGAAAUUGUUUCUGAAGAUACAUGGUGAAACAAUACGGCGCCACUCGACGCUACAGGAGAAAGUGAGGAAACUUCUAGACGUCCAGAGCAAGGUCUGGCAGAAGAUCGACAAAAUGUUUCAGAGCUCGCGAUGCAUGGUCACAUUCCUCAGCAACUCGCAGUUUUAG